UUAAAAAGAUGUCCAAGAUACAGUACCAAGUGUAAAAAACCAGAGUAGUAUGGAUUUGAUAGAAUAUUAUAGCAUUUGUAUCUGUUUUUUAAAAAGGAAAUAUGUGCUUUUGCACAAGCACAGAAAUCUUCUGGAACAGCACACGAGACUGUUUGUUUGGGGAAUGAGAAUAGCUGGUGAAGGGCAAGGUCGAUGUCCUUUUCACUUUACAAUCUUCUGUACCUUCAGGGUUUCUUCUUACAUAAGCAAAAACUAUUUUACAAAUGAUUUGCAUAUGUCUACCUGCUAUACUAUAAAACCAAGAUAAAUAUUUUGAAGUUCAUUUCAGUGAACUAGUUAAUACAUCAAUUUUAGGAGGAAAAGCUGUUUUCAUUAUUUAAAAAGCUAUUUAAUUAUUACCACCAUCUCCAAUCUACAGGAAAAUAUUCCGCACCCCUCAUGGUGGUGCUGAGCAAUCAUUCUUUAACUCUCUUUUGGGAAAGGAAAGCUGAAUUGAUCCCAUAUUUCCUCCAAAUGCCAAGAGCCUCAUGUAGACACCCAGGCUAAUAUUUUUUUCCCCAGGGAUGGCUAGAGAAGGAGAUGGUGUGACAUAUGGUCAAAAGUAUUGGAAAAGCUGGAAUUCCAAUUGGAGUUCUAAGUGGAGAGGGGCGUGAAGUUUAUUUAUUUUAGAUUUGCCAUAGGCAACAUAGAUGAAACAGAAUGUGCCAGGCUGGUCGUCUGGCCAGGGACCUUCACGGAGGUCUCUUCUGGAUUCCUCUCAAGACCCAGCACAGGCUAAGUAUUUGCAUAGUAGGCGCUCCAUCUGUUUCAUUGAUUAAAAAAGUAUAUGAAAAGUACCAGGAAAGAAGCAGUAAAAAUGUGAUCAAAAUGAAAAUUAACAAUGCUAGCCAAAAAUUAAUGCAGCAAUGCACUGACAGUUAUAAAACAAACUGGUUUUUAUAUAUGGUUGUUAGCAUCAGGUGGCUUAGAAACUCACUUCUCAUUAUCCUAACAAAAAGAGUAAUCGAGUUCAAAGAUUUUCAACUAGGCAAUUUUAUCCAACAGCAUUUGCAGUACAGAGCUUUUAAAGUUAAUAAGUAAUAAAGAAGGUUAAUAAUUAGCAAGCAAAUAUGCCUGUGGAGGCAAAUUUGUGACCUGAAACAUCAAUACCACUAAACAGGUGAAUUAAAACAUGAAAAAAGUUUAAAGUGAAAAAUACAAGACUGGACCACUUAGAAAAUUUUCCAUUCCACAUAAAAAGUACUAUCUUCUAGAUGUGUGUAGGAGCAUUUUGGGCACUGACAGAUGGCAGUAUGUGCUUAAUCUCCUUACAAACUGGGUGUCUUUAUAAAGUUAUUCAGAAACUUUGGAGUCUUGAUUCCUCAUCCAACCAUCAGAUUCCUAAGUGUUCUUCUCUCAAAAUAAGUCUUGAAUCCAACCACCUCCACUGCUACCACUCUGAACCCAUCACCUCAGACUUGGAUUACUCCAGCAGUCUUCUAACUGAUAUUCCUGUUUUUGGAGUUGGAAAAACUGGCAACUAGAGGAAUCCUUCUAGAAUGUAAGUCAUGACAAAGCACCCCUCUGCUCAAAACCCUCUAAUGGCCCCUAUCUCAUUCAGUGUAAAAUCCACAGUCCCUAUCAUGGACCACAAGGUCCUCAUGUCUGACCCCCUUACCUCUCUAACUCCAUCUCCUAUGAUCCUCACCCUCACUUACUCUGCUACAGGCACACUGAUCUUUUUGCUCCUCCUAGAACAUACCAGAACAUGCCUAGAAUACACCGGGUGAUCCUGCCUUGGGGUCACUGAACUUACUAUUCCCUCUGCUUGGAUUGCUUUUCCCCCUCUGGAGUCAUAUCUUCCCAUUUUGUUUAUUUCAAAUGUCAUUCAUUAGAAAGGCUUUUCCUAACCACCCUAUAUAAAAAAGCAAACUCCACCAUCUCUCUAUACCCCCUUAUUCUGAUUAUUUUUCAUUUUUAUACUUGACAUAUAAUUAUUUGUUUACUGCCAGUCUCUCCUUAGUUGGGAGGGCGGGACCCACAGCAGGGUCUGGUACAUAACAGGGGUUCUGUAAAAACUCGCCAAAUGAACACAUGUCAACUAUAUUACACACGGGCACCUCAUCAAAAACACUGAAUGAGAAUACUGAAUUCUUUUUUUCCCCCCACAAUGGAAGGUGAGUUUGAGAAAGGGUGGGAUAGUUGUUGUGAGCUCAGGUACUGCAGUUUAAUUUAUUAUGGUCAAUUUAUACUUAAUUUGUUCUUGGAGUAUGAGCUGAUUUUAACUAAAGCAAUUGUUUAUUUUUUAAAUCCUAAUUAUGUAACCUAGAAACAACAUGAUUCAAAAUUAAAACAUUAAAGGAUUGAUUGCAGUAGGACUUCUAGCUGAAUGGUGAAUUUUAUUUAGCUUAGGAAACAAUUUAUUAGUACAAAUACUGAAUUUGUCUCAUAAAAAUGUGUCACUCUCCAAAUGGCAUGAAAGAAUGCUAUUUGAAAUGUAUUUCAAUUUUUCAGGAAAAAAUGUUUCCUAAAAAUAUUAGUAAAAUAGGUUUUUAAAAAAAUAGUAAUUAUCAUCCUUGAAAGAAGAUACCAAUGGAGACUUACAAUACAAUAUAUGCUUCUACACCAGGAAUGGGAUGCAUUAUAAAUGUGCUGCCUUGAAAAUUGCACAACUGGUUGCUGGACAAUUCAGUCCCAUGAUCUUAACUGCUUGAGAGGAAAAAAUUACAAUUUUUAAAAGACUCCAAUAGCAACUACUGGGAGUUGCUUUAAGUGACUAAAUAAACAGUUUAGAAACAUAACACACAAGGAAUUCUCUGAGGAUAGACACAGGACAAAUUCUAUUAUAAAAUCCAAGAGACUAUUCAGCUCUUCUGUAUGCUAGUAUUUCGUUGUAUCAGAAUUAGAUCCUAUAAGCAUGACAUCAUCUGAUCUGGGGAAUAUUUGUGUUCCCAGACAUAGUGUUAACUUUCACGAAAUUUCGGCUGCACAAAACAAAUGGUGUCACCAUUUCCAUCAAUGGAUAGUGAAAUGAGAAAGAUAAGGGCAACAGUACACACACAUAUACAUUCAUAUACACCAGAGAAGUGUAUAUACAUAGAUGUUAGUUUUUUUCUAAAAUUUUGUCUUCCUUAGUUUUUUAAAAAGUAUUAAGAUGGCCUUUCUUAUUAACAAAAUUGGGACUUUUCAAGUGCCUGCAUUCCAAAUACCCAAAUAAAGUUCUCUUGUUAAUGUAGCUUUAAAAAAUGCCUUCUUUUAUGAAGUGAUGGUGAUUAUAGUUGGUUGUUGGUUUUAAAAAUGCUCACAACCCUAUCUCAAUCUGCAAAAAAAAAGUGUGUGUGUGAAAUUUUUCUGGUCCAUGAAAUCCAAAACUCUGAAAAUCACAACUUAUUAAUAAAAAAAUCUUGGCUGGCUUCCUUCUUUUCAGGAGAAAGCUAAGCCUCUUUAGCGUAGAAUUCAAAACCUUGUGUAUUUGGUCUUAAUCUACUGCUCUUGUUUUUCUUAUUUUGAUACGAGCCGUCAAGGGUCUGCCCCCUGCCUGGCCUCACCUCCAUUGGCUAAGAUCACCAGGCACCUUCAGCUUCAGGCCUCCUAGGUCCUCAUUAGACUCCCUAGCAGGGCUCACUAAGGCCCAGUUCUCUGGUUGAUGGCUCUUGAGGAACCAGAUCUACAGAGGACAUGGGAAAGAAGCGACUGGCAAAGAAAAUAAAAUGCCCCACAGCAUCUCUGAAGGCAAGAAGACACCGCCCGGCUGCCCGCGGGCCAGGUGGGCGGGGCGCCGUGCCCUGCAGUGUGCGCCCCGGCUCCGCCGCGCCCCGCCGUCCCGCGAGGGCAGGCAGCAGGGCCGCGCGCGCG